UUCCGCUACAUCUCUGUUCUCAGCCACGAUGCAGAAAAUGUUCCUCACGGUGCUGUGUAUCUUACUUUUUACUGGCAACAUUCUCCAACUAGGUAAAAGAUUACUUUCAUAAGUAAAGUUUAUUAAAGCAUAUUAUGGGAACUUUGAACUACUUUGAACUACUAAUCCCACGGUAAAAGUAUCUUGUUUUCUGUUAUGAGUUGUAGUGUUGUGGGUCUUGAGAUCGAUCUUGAUGCCCAAAAAAAAUUGUGGUCUUGGUCUUUUUUCUUUUUUUAUUUUAGUUAAAAAUAUUUCUAUGAUUUUUCCGACCACAUAAGACCAUAAUGUGUUCAUUAUUGCUUUGUGAUGUUCUCCUUACAGUACAAAAUAUAAAUGCACAUCUCUGUAUGUGGAGUUAAAGUAG
ensembl:lncRNA